GUGCCAGCCGCCGCGGUAAUACCUGCAGCCCAAGUGGUGGUCGAUUUUAUUGAGUCUAAAACGUUCGUAGCCGGUUUGAUAAAUCCUUGGGUAAAUCGGGAAGCUUAACUUUCCGACUUCCGAGGAGACUGUCAAACUUGGGACCGGGAGAGGCUAGAGGUACUUCUGGGGUAGGGGUAAAAUCCUGUAAUCCUAGAAGGACCACCGGUGGCGAAGGCGUCUAGCUAGAACGGAUCCGACGGUGAGGGACGAAGCCCUGGGUCGCAAACGGGAUUAGAUACCCCGGUAGUCCAGGGUGUAAACGCUGCAGACUUGGUGUUGGAGGCCCUUCGGGGGCAUUCAGUGCCGGAGAGAAGUUGUUAAGUCUGCUACUUGGGGAGUACGUCCGCAAGGAUGAAACUUAAAGGAAUUGGCGGGGGAGCACCGCAACGGGAGGAGCGUGCGGUUUAAUUGGAUUCAACACCGGAAAACUCACCAAGGGCGACUGUUACAUGAAAGCCAGGCUAAUGACCUUGCUUGAUUUUCAGAGAGGUGGUGCAUGGCCGUCGUCAGUUCGUACCGUAAGGCGUUCUCUUAAGUGAGAUAACGAACGAGACCCUCACCUAUAAUUGCUAACCAGGUCUCCGGAUCUGGUGCACAUUAUCGGGACCGCUGGCGCUAAGUCAGAGGAAGGAGAGGUCAACGGUAGGUCAGUAUGCCCCGAAUCUCUUGGGCUACACGCGCGCUACAAAGGGCGGGACAAUGGGCUCCGACGCCGAAAGGCGAAGGUAAUCUCGAAACCCGUCCGUAGUUCGGAUUGAGGGUUGUAACUCACCCUCAUGAAGCUGGAUUCCGUAGUAAUCGCGAAUCAGCAACUCGCGGUGAAUAUGCCCCUGCUCCUUGCACACACCGCCCGU
rnacentral:rRNA from 1 species